rnacentral:tRNA from 1 species
GCAUUGGUGGUUCAGUGGUAGAAUUCUUGCCUCCCAUGUGGGAGACCCGGGUCCGAUUCCCGGCCAAUGCA